AACGAACGCUGGCGGCAUGCCUAACACAUGCCAGUCGAACGAGACCUUCGGGUCUAGUGGCGCACGGGUGCGUAACGCGUGGGAACCUGCCCUUAGGUUCGGAAUAACUCCCCGAAAGGGGUGCUAAUACCGGAUAAUGUCUUCGGACCAAAGAUUUAUCGCCUUUGGAUGGGCCCGCGUUGGAUUAGCUAGUUGGUAGGGUAAAAGCCUACCAAGGCGACGAUCCAUAGCUGGUCUGAGAGGAUGAUCAGCCACACUGGGACUGAGACACGGCCCAGACUCCUACGGGAGGCAGCAGUGGGGAAUAUUGGACAAUGGGCGAAAGCCUGAUCCAGCAAUGCCGCGUGAGUGAUGAAGGCCUUAGGGUUGUAAAGCUCUUUAACCCGGGAUGGUAAUGACAGUACCGGGAGAAUAAGCUCCGGCUAACUCCGUG
rnacentral:rRNA from 1 species